rnacentral:lncRNA from 1 species
GUCCUGGAUAAGGCAGAAGUUGGCCAGGUUCUAGGAGCACAUGGCGGGAAUUGGGAUGGCUCCCAGGUGUGUAUGGGCCUCUCCCUGCAGGGAUCAAAUAAAUGCUUUCUCGUUGCACCUGAAGAUGUCUCUGAUUAGUUAAUUAGGGAAAGGGGAUCUUGCACCUGACCUGUCUCACACAGUUUAUGGGGACUUUGCCCAGGCUCUGACUUCCCAGAGAUGACUGGGAUCCUGAGUCAAGGUAGGCGCUAGGCUGGGUUCUCCAAGCUACCUUGAGAUCAGAUUCUGAGCCUCCCUCUCUGUGAAGAAUGGGCCUAGGAGAGACAAGCCACUCAGAUACAAACAGAAGGCACACAAGUCUUCGAAGAUGAAACCCAGGGGCUUUCUAUGGUUGGCUAUGAAGGUAGGCAACUCCUUCUGACCCUGGUCUGCCAAACAACCCUUGGAGGGGUUCAGCUGUACAUUUGCUGGAGACCAAGGGCCCUUGUAGUACCUGGGUAAUACCUAAGACCAGAAGGAAGACAGCUAUAUGGAGAUUGGUUCCAAGAGAAU